AAACUUCAUCAGCAACACAAACAUAGUAAGAAGCAGAGGCCAGGAGCCAGGAGAGAGAUCAAAUAAAAGACAUUCUGCAAGUUGCAGUACUGUGUGUUUCAGCAUCCAAUUAGGCCCAAGUUCAGCUGGAGAUGAGCCAUUUGAUAAAGGUGUUGACCUACAGUUUAACAGGGCAAGAUCAGCCAAAGAUCCUCGAUGACAUCACCAAUGGUCCACCCACUGCUAACGCCAAUUUGGCCAACCUCUGAUGAUGUCAUUUCUGGUACCCAGAAUCCAUCUUACCACCACAUCAAUUCCUGUUUCGUCCACCCUGACUGCACCUCUUCCUUUUUUCCACCAUAUUUAAGACCAGUAUAUGACCUGUUAGUUAGUUCAGUUGUGAACUCCACUUAUAUUAACUAUGUUUCCUUUACUUUUGCUGAUUUUUCAGUAUACAGGGUGACCAUCCCCAAAUCUUUUUCUGUCUGCUGCCUAAUGUUUUAUCACAGUGGAGAAAAACCUUGGUGACAUGAGAAGAACAUGAGCUGUGUGAUAUCAGCACUGACCACAAUAAGAUAUUUACAUUAUAUUUGUUUUAUAGCAUGUGAUUCAUAUUACACUUUCAGAAUAUGAUGACAUAUUUUAAUAUUCAAUAGCAGCUUGCCAGUCAGAAUUCUAAUAUAAUACCCUGCACAUUAGUCUAUGGCAAUCUGCCUCAUUUCUUCUUAAUCCACUUUCAAAAUUAUUUGACCAAAAACAAGUAUGAGCAAUUUCCUAAUGAAUAAAAAGCAAAGA